rfam:Loxodonta africana unplaced genomic scaffold scaffold_5, whole genome shotgun sequence.
GUUUGGUUUUUUGGUUUCGUACUAAAUUUGAAAUGAUACAGAGAAAAUUAACAUGGCCCCUGUGCAAGAAUGAUAUGUGAAUUCAUAAAACAUUCCAUAUUUUU